GCCCAUAUAGCUCAGUAGGUAGAGUGUCGCCUUGGUAAGGCGGAGGUCAGCGGUUCAAACCCGCUUAUGGGCUCCA
rnacentral:tRNA from 1 species